GAUAAGAACGCAGCGAAAUGCGAUAAGUAAUGUGAAUUGCAGAAUUCAGUGAAUCAUCGAGUCUUUGAACGCACAUUGCGCCCCCUGGUAUUCCGGGGGGCAUGCCUGUCCGAGCGUCAUUGCUGCCCUCAAGCACGGCUUGUGUGUUGGGCCGUCGUCCCCCUCCUAGGGGACGGGCCCGAAAGGCAGCGGCGGCACCGCGUCCGGUCCUCGAGCGUAUGGGGCUUCGUCACCCGCUCCGUAGGCCCGGCCGGCGCUUGCCGACGACCAUCAAUCUCUUUCUCCAGGUUGACCUCGGAUCAGGUAGGGAUACCCGCUGAACUUAAGCAUAUCAAUAAGCGGAGGA
rnacentral:misc_RNA from 1 species